rnacentral:rRNA from 1 species
CAUUAAAGAAUCGCCCCGUUUUUUGAAAUGGGUUCUAUUCCCAAACCGUGUAUACAUACCUUUGUUGCUUUGGCAGGCCGCCUUUUAGGCGUCGGCUCCGGCUGACUGCGCCUGCCAGAGGACCCAAACUCUUUUGUUUAGUGAUGUCUGAGUACUAUAUAAUAGUUAAAACUUUCAACAACGGAUCUCUUGGUUCUGGCAUCGAUGAAGAACGCAGCGAAAUGCGAUAAGUAAUGUGAAUUGCAGAAUUCAGUGAAUCAUCGAAUCCUUGAACGCACAUUGCGCCCCUUGGUAUUCCGAGGGGCAUGCCUGUUCGAGCGUCAUUAUAACCACUCAAGCCUCGGCUUGUCUUGGGGUUCGCGGUUUCGCGGCCCUUAAAAUCAGUGGCGGUGCCGUCUGGCUCUAAGUGUAGUAAUUCUCUCACUAUAGGGUCCAGGUGACCACCUGCCAUAACCCCAUUCUUUACGGUUG